CAGUAGCCGCGGGAAUACGAACCGUGCGAACGUUAUUCGGAAUCACUGGGCUUAAAGCGCGUGUAGGCGGGCCGCCACGUCGGCUGCUGAAAUCCCCCGGCUCAACCGGGGAAGUGGCACCGAUACGAGCGGCCUGGAGGGGGGUAGGGGGGACUGGAACUUCCGGUGGAGCGGUGAAAUGCGUUGAGAUCGGAAGGAACGCCCGUGGCGAAAGCGAGUCCCUGGACCCUUACUGACGCUGAGACGCGAAAGCCAGGGGAGCGAACGGGAUUAGAUACCCCGGUAGUCCCUGUCUCUUAUA
rnacentral:rRNA from 1 species